ACAUGGAUAUAAUUUUGAUGUUGAUACAGUAAAAUUUGCUUUGUCAAUAUAAGCUUUACUACUGUAUAUUCUCUAACUCAAAUUCCUGUAAUUUGAAACACGUCCCAGUAAAAGUUAAAGAGAUUUCACCGUAAAUUUAAGAACCACUAAUACUUUUAAAAUCAUUAAAUUAUUAUAACUCACUUACUUGAUUGACAAUUUUCGUCAAAUUAAAAAUAAUUUUAUUUAAAAAUGAUUUAAAAUUUUCGACAGAACUUUGUUGUGAAGACUUGGACUUUUGUAUAAGUUAAAUAUUAAACACCAAUAAAAUUACUUCCGAUGAUAAACAUUAUUAAAAAUCUAAACUUGACCACUCUAUUAUCUAUGAUCAUCAUUCGUAACUUUAUAAAUGUAUUAGUAACAUAAAAUAAAUAAAGAUUUUAAAUCAAUCACUAUUUAUAGAAGUAAAAAAGAAGAUUUAUCGAAACUAAAAGGUAUUAAAGGUUAUAGGAAGAAUAAAAAAGAAAUUUAUAAACGUUAAAUUAUUCGGAGCUAAUUUAAUAACAGGGUGUUAAUUAUUAAUUGCAUUAUUUUUAGAUAAAAGGCUUGUGUCCACAUUCAGGUGGAUGUUUAUUUAUUUUUGGGAUACCUGCGUCCACGCUCGCGCUUGUACUGGCCACCGUACUUGCAGCGGUUCGCCGCGAGCUCCGUGAUCUCAGGGAUCCAGCUGGCAAACACCGCCUACACCCACAAUAAUCCGUUGCCCAAAAAAGAUGAGAGACAUGGAGGUUGAUGGAUGUUAUAUAUUAAUACCUCUUUCCAUGUUCCCGCUUGUACUCGCCGCUGUAUUUGGACCUACUGCCUACGAGCUCAAUUAUCUCAGAAAUUUUCUCCCUCUUUCUCGAUAAAAAUGUCAAAAAUAAACAUCUAUACGUACACAUACUAUCUGCACGAGUAAAACAGCUGGAAAAGGCAUUUCGACGUCAAAGACAAAGCAUUGUUGAA